AAUCAUAGAGACUUGAAUACAAGGUCUACUCUCAGAGGAAGAGCUGUCUAUUAUAGGCCUAUAGAUCAAACUUUGUCAAAGUAACUUUGUAACCCAUUGUCCCUGUGGUGGAUUAACGACGGCCACAAAUUCUUUGACAAUACUCCCAUCAAGAGUAGAUCUAAGUUUCCUUGCCCUAGAACCUAGAUAGGCCCUGUAACUGCUUUGGCCAAUACAAUACAGCAGAAGUAAUGCAGUACCUAUUUCCAGACCCAGGUUUGAGCAACUGGAAAUUUCUAUCCCUUUGGAACUCUUUCUCUCUGGGUACCCUGAGCUACCAGGUAACAUCUGACCAGCCUAAGACCAUCGUGCCAGAGAAGCCACGUGUAAGUGCUCCAGUUGACAGACUCCACUGAGCCAUGUUUUGUAGGCUUCCCUGCCAAGGCACCAGACAUGUGGGUAAAGCUGUCUCGGACCUUCCAGACCAGCCCAUUCACCAGCUGAAUACCACCCAGUGAUCUCAGUCAAUGACAAAGGGAGCAGAAAACUUGCCCACGGACACUGCCUGAAUUCCUGAGCCACCAAACCAAGAGAUAUGGUGAAAUGAUUGCUGCCUGCGGCUUGUCUGCUGCAGGAAUUCUUCCUGUCCUGGGACCUCAAGCUGAGCAGUGGCUGUUUGCUGCUUAGUUCCUGCUUGCUGAGUUCCUACAGAGAAAUGGUUCAGAGCAUAAAUCUCGCUGGAAGGGCAUGAUUGCUGGAGUUCCAGCAUCCACUUGUGAUCAUAUGGCAACCAUGAGGAGUGAAGCCAGUGCUAAGGAUGAUGGAGCAGAAGAAGAAAAGGAGCUAGGCCCCUGGCAACAAGAGAGUGUCCUGAUCUUAGUGCCCACUAAGAGGCCAAAGAACUUGCUUCCUCUCUCUUGCUGCUGUGUGAGGAUACAGGAAGGAGGUGAUCAUCUGCAAGUCAGGAAGGGAGCCCUCAACAAGAACUAAAUCUGCUGGUACUUUGAUCUUGGACUUCCCAGUCUCCAGAACUGCGAGAAAUAAAUGUCUGUUGUUUAAGCCACCCUUUCUAUGGUAUUUUUUUAAUAGUAGCUAAGCUGAUUAAGACAGUAGUCUUUGGCACUCUGGAAACAUUUUCCUGUUUCUGCCAUUUGUAGAUCUAAUAACCCUAUCAAAAUGUGCAACCUAAGAUUUCUUCACAGGGCACUUCUCACUCAUUUAAAUUUCAGGAAAUGUCCUCUCCAUGGCUACCUUGUCUGUUUGUAGUAUCUCAUUGAAUCCAUGCUACUGUUGAUAUAAGACACACCAUUAUUUUGUAUGCUAUGAAAGAAAAAGAGAUGCUUCCCAAUGUCUUAAUAUUAAGAGAUGUACAAAAAAAUCUCAAUUUUAAAGUUGUUGAAAUUUUUUAUGUGCAUUUUGGAAUAGAGGAACAUAAUGGCCCUGAGUACAAGUUGUGGUUCUAGGAGGGAGAUAGAACCAAAUAUUUUUAGAUCGUUGUAUUUGUCGUAAACCUGAAACUCCUAGUCCUACUCUAGUUCACGUUUAGAGUUACCCUUUCCUCGGUGGUGUGAAUGGGGGCAGAGAGAUCACUCUGAUAUUCCCAUCUGCUGGGGAAAGGAUUGCUGCUGGGCCAUGAAAGUAGUGCCCAGUGAAGUUUCAACACGCUACUCAUCUUGCUUUCUGGACAGACAGAUGCUAUGAGAGUUGUCUGUGUCUGAUUAAUGAAUUUAAUGAAAUAGGGCCCUUCUCAUUCCCGGCUUAAAGCAGAAGGGUUCUCUUGUAAGUAGCUACAAAAGAAAGAGUCUGGAAAUAGAGAGCAGAGGUGAUUCAUGAUGAAUGGGAACCAGCACAGAGCUCUUAUAUAUUGUAAACCUCCCAGAACAAUCCACACCAGAAACUGAGCUCAGAAGCUGCAUUAUCCCCCAGAUUCUCUCAGGCAGGAACUAACACUCAGAUCCAGAAUUCAAAUUAACAGGAGCUCGGCCAGGCGCGGUGGCUCAAGCCUGUAAUCCCAGCACUUUGGGAGGCCUAGAUGGGUGGAUCACGAGGUCGGGAGAUCGAGACCAUCCUGGCUAACACGGUGAAACCCCGUCUCUACUAAGAAAUACAAAAAAAAAAAAAACUAGCCAGGUGAGGUGGCGGGCACCUGUAGUCCCAGCUACUCGGGAGGCUGAGGCAGGAGAAUGACGUGAACCCGGGUGGCGGAGCUUGCAGUGAGCUGAGAUCCGGCCACUGCACUCCAGCCUGGGCAACAGAGCGAGACUCUGUCUCAAAAAAAAAAAAAAAUUAACAGGAGCUCAGAGGUUCUCUGUCCUGGAUGGAAGCACAUCUUGAGAAUGAAUUAAUUCUGCUGCUACUGGGGAAGCAAUGAGCCUUCCUGCUCAGUUUUCUUCUGACACGUAGUUAAAAACCAAUUCAUGAUUCUGAGGCCUUAUGUGAUGAGGAAGCCUCUGCAUUGGCUGGUGAGCUGUUCUAUUCUCAGCUUCCCCGCAGGGGCUGUAGGAAGCUGGGAUUCCCAGGAGGAAAACCCUCCUGCGGCUUUGCUGCAAUUGGAGCCUCAGGAAGCAGGUUAAUUUUUGAGCAUUCUCCUAGAGUCUCUCACAGAAGAAUUUAGUUGGUGCUGUUUUGAGAGGCCCAGGCAGGACCCAAGGAUCUUUCUUCCCUGCUGUUCAGGCCCCCUCAGGUUGCAUGGGCAAGGUCCUCCCGCCUGCAGCAAGUGGGAACAGUCUCACUUCUGAGCCCUCAUUUUGGGUGGCAGCGGCCUCUUGCUUUCUGAGAAGCACACUGCACCUCACCAUUUCACCCCCAGGGCAGCAGAAGCAAUCAGCAUCAUUAAAGCCUCAUGUCUUCUAAACCCCCAACUUCACCUUGACACUAACAACACUGGCAGCUGCAAAAAUCCGUGGUCAGGAGCUUCCUCCUGCUUCCAGGGCUCUGGUGUGCAAUGCAAUCUCACAGCUUUGCCCCCACACACGUCUCUGCUGGGAAGCUGCCCAUGGCACAAGGCAAGGGGACCCUCUGCGGUGGAUUGUUCCUUGGUCAUCACCACUUAGCGGUUUUUGUAUCUUUAAUUUCAUUAUAAUCUUGUCAUCUUACCAAACAAGCCAAAACCUGCAACAGAAGCAUUUUAAAUGUUUAACAACGUCUCCCUUCUCAAUGUAACAACCUCCAAAGAUAAAUCUAGGAGACCAUUCAAGGCAGGCAGGCAGGGAGGAGGGCACCACAGUCAUAAUAGCACUUGAAUGUCACACUGCAGUUGACCAGCAGCAUCGUUCGCUGGGGGUCAUUUUGGAAAUUUGGAGGAGAACUUUGAAUUUUAUCAUGACAGGAAAGGGGGUUCCCGGCCUUUAGUGGAUGGGCUCCUGUUCCAAACAAAAAUUUUCCUGCAUUGUGGAUGACGUGUGAAUGUAACAAUAGAUGUUCACGUGAAUGACAGGCCUUUAUAUGUACACAAAACCCAGCUUGAGCACAAAAUAGUUUUCGCAAGUUUUUAACUGACAUUUUUGGAAAUAUAGCUAACAUGUAAAUGCACAGAAGGUUGUACUUUGUUUUGUACAGAAUUUUACUCAGGGGUGUGCACUAUUUUGGAAAACUCACACAGUGAGUUUGAGAUCCUGAGUCAGUUGGUUUGUGUGCCUGUGACCUUCCCUGUUGUUCAAUGUGCAACCACAAACAUCUGAGUCCUUCAUGUCUUCUAGUGUGACUGUGCCUCACACUUACAUGUUGAAAUAUGUAUUUAUAU
rnacentral:lncRNA from 1 species